GCUGGGUGUGGUGGCGCAUGCCUGUAGUCCCAGCUACUUGGGAGGCUGAGGCAGGAGAAUCGCUUGAACUCGGGAGUUGGAGGUUGCAGUGAGCCGAGACUGCAUCAUUGCACUCCAGCCUGAGUGACAGGGUGAGACUCUGUCUCAA
ensembl:misc_RNA Metazoa_SRP Metazoan signal recognition particle RNA